GUGCUCGCUCUGGCAGCACAUAUGCUAAAAUUAGAAUUAUACAGAGAAGAUUCAUAUGGCCCCCGUGCAAGGAUGACACACAAAUUCAUGAAGAAUUCCAUAUUUUU
ensembl:snRNA U6 U6 spliceosomal RNA